GACGAACGCUGGCGGCGUGCCUAAUACAUGCAAGUAGAACGCACAGUUUAUACCGUAGCUUGCUACACCAUAGACUGUGAGUUGCGAACGGGUGAGUAACGCGUAGGUAACCUGCCUGGUAGCGGGGGAUAACUAUUGGAAACGAUAGCUAAUACCGCAUAAUAUUAAUUAUUGCAUGAUAAUUAAUUGAAAGGUGCAAUUGCACCACUACCAGAUGGACCUGCGUUGUAUUAGCUAGUAGGUGAGGUAACGGCUCACCUAGGCGACGAUACAUAGCCGACCUGAGAGGGUGAUCGGCCACACUGGGACUGAGACACGGCCCAGACUCCUACGGGAGGCAGCAGUAGGGAAUCUUCGGCAAUGGACGAAAGUCUGACCGAGCAACGCCGCGUGAGUGAAGAAGGUUUUCGGAUCGUAAAGCUCUGUUGUAGGAGAAGAACGGGUGUGAGAGUGGAAAGUUCACACUGUGACGGUAUCUUACCAGAAAGGGACGGCUAACUACGU
rnacentral:rRNA from 1 species